rnacentral:rRNA from 1 species
AUUGAACGCUGGCGGCAUGCCUUACACAUGCAAGUCGAACGGCAGCGGGGGAGAAGCUUGCUUUUCCUGCCGGCGAGUGGCGAACGGGUGAGUAAUACAUCGGAACGUGCCCUGUAGUGGGGGAUAACUAGUCGAAAGAUUAGCUAAUACCGCAUACGACCUGAGGGUGAAAGUGGGGGACCGCAAGGCCUCAUGCUAUAGGAGCGGCCGAUGUCUGAUUAGCUAGAUGGUGGGGUAAAGGCCUACCAAGGCGACGAUCAGUAGCUGGUCUGAGAGGACGAUCAGCCACACUGGGACUGAGACACGGCCCAGACUCCUACGGGAGGCAGCAGUGGGGAAUUUUGGACAAUGGGCGAAAGCCUGGUCCAGCAAUGCCGCGUGUGUGAAGAAGGCCUUCGGGUUGUAAAGCACUUUUGUCCGGAAAGAAAUGGCUCUGGUUAAUACCUGGGGUCGAUGACGGUACCGGAAGAAUAAGGACCGGCUAACUACGUGCCAGCAGCCGCCGUAA